UCUGCCCUCUCUCACAGCAGAGCAAAAGGGGACAGUGGGUGAUUUUCAGACAUUUGCGGAGGUAGAUAAGAUCGGUGGAUAAGAUUGGUUUUACUUGCAAGUAAAUGUAAAUAAAUCGGCCGAUCAUCCAAAAUUAAAGAAAUUGGGGCCGUUUAAAUGGUGCACCCCUAAGGAUAACAUUUAUCAUUAUGGCUUUCAUCAAAAGAUGCAACAUUGACAAGAUCAUGGAUGCUGGAACACCUCCUUGAACUUCACAGCAUCAAAAUGCAAGCCAAAGAGCAGCCUGCAACCAGGAUAUCAAAGAGGAAAAGCUCCCGUAUUCCACUCACACAGACUAUUCUGCAGUGUGUUAUGAGGGUUUUCUCCUUGGACUCCGAGGCAAUCAGGAAAGGGGGAUUGUGCUGUGCUGUUGCCCAUACAGCUGCCUCAUUCUUGCUCAUUUGGGGGUGUAUGGCAUUCUCUCUGCAUGGCAAUUAUGAAAAGGAACAAAAGAGGCUUUUAGAGACAAAGGCGGUUUGAAGAGAACAAGGUUGCUCCUCUGCACAGCGAGUGUUCUGACUCCAAGUGCUGUUUCAUGAGACAUGAUAUGAGGCAAUUAUGCAAGGAAAUCUGCAGAGAGGGGAAACGAAGGAGAGGAGAGCAGAGGGAGAUACAUUGGGGCUGGCAUCGUGUCUAAAGAGAACAGCACCAGAUAGCACCAUCUGCAUUCUGCACAUGAACUGUCUGGCCAGCUGCGGCCUUCGAUGGGAGCUGGCUCUGAGACAGGCAGCAGGCGACAGAAAGUACUCAAGCAUGCAAAGUACACUCAAAUGCACUCUGGCUCUAUGGGUCAUACGUUUGGGUUAAACUUAACCACACUAAUCUUAUUGCAAUUUUUUUUAAUGCUUGUCCAUUGCAGAAUGGCUGCUACAGUUGAUAACAGUAUGCCAGGAUUUAAUUAAUGAUAAAAUCUGAAAAAUGUGACGUGCAUUUUUAAUGCAGCACCCUGAACUCUGAUACCUAUAAAUAAACUCCAGUGCAAGCAGUUGACUGCAGAAGUCCCCCAUAUUAAUAAACUGAGUCCACCUGUGUGUAAUUACAUCUCAACAUAAAUCCAGCUGUUCUCUGAAGGCCUCACAGCUUUGUUAGAAAACAAAGCAGCACUAUGAAGAGGAGGGAACACAGCAGAAAGGGAAAGAUAUGGGAAGUUUAACACAGGGUUAGGUUAUAAAACACUAUCCCAGCAUCUCCUCUGAAGAUCUCACAGAGCUCCGUCCAAUCAUUUGGCACAAAUACAAAUCUGCCAACACAGGGCCAUCCACCUAAAGUGACAGGCUGGGUUGAGGAAAGCAUCAAUCACAAAAGCAGGCAAGAGGCCCAUGCUAACUUUGGAGGACCUGCGGAGAUCCAUAGCUCGGGUGGGAGAAUCUGACAAGUACUAAUAGUGCCCUGCUGCAAUCUGACCUUUAUGGAAAGGUGCUGAGAAGAAAGCUAUUGUUAAAACACAACAAGCCAUGUAGAGGACAUGACAAACAUGUGGUACAAGGUGCUCUGUUCAGAGAAAAUUUAACUUUUUGAAAUACAUGCAAAGCGCCACAUAUAGGGGGAAAAUAUUAACAUGGCACAUAACCCAGACCACACCGUUUCCUAGCCAACACUUAAUGUUGUGGGGAAGCUCUUCUCCAGCAGGGAAGAGGACGUUGCUCAGAGAUGAUGGAAAGAAGGAAUCCAGCUGAACACAUGGCAAAAUAAAACUAAAUACAUUCGAGGCCUCAAAUGACUUGAAAACUAGUAAAGUGGUUCACCUUCCAGCAGGACGGCCCUAAACAUCCCAUCAGAGCUAGAAUGGAAUGGCUGUUCUUCAUCCAAUCUGAAGGAACUCAUUUCGCAAUGAAACAUAAAACUAGAGAGAAAAUGACAGUUUCUGGAUGAGUAAAGCUGUUAAAGACAUAACCCGAAAGACCAAGAUAACAGGUGGCUCUGCAAAAUGUUGAGUCGGGUGCACUGAAUAUAAAUGCCAACAACACUUUUCUUUUUUUUUUUUUUAUAAAACAAAAAAAUCUGAAACAAAUAAAUCAUCCAACAAUUCUUCACUAGUUGGUGUCGGUCCAUCAAAUAAAAUCCCACUGAAAUACA